AUUGAACGCUGGCGGCAGGCCUAACACAUGCAAGUCGAACGAGUGGCGGACGGGUGAGUAAUGUCUGGGAAACUGCCUGAUGGAGGGGGAUAACUACUGGAAACGGUAGCUAAUACCGCAUACCAUCAGAUUUGCCCAGAUGGGAUUAGCUUGUGGGUGGGGUAACGGCGAACAAAGGCGACGAUCCCUAGCUGGUCUGAGAGGAGGACCAGCACAACUGGAAUGGGGAAACGGUCCAGACUCAUACGGGAGGCAGCAGUGGGGAACAUUGGACAAGGGGGGAAAGCCUGAUGCAGCCAUGCCGCGUGUAUGAAGAAGGCCUUCGGGUUGUAAAGUACUUUCAGAGGGGAGGCGUUACCCACAGAAGAAGCACCGGCUAACUCCGUGCCAGCAGCCGCGGUAAUUC
rnacentral:rRNA from 1 species